GGGCGGUUGGCUCAGUUGGAAGAGCGCCUGGUUUACACCCAGGAGGUCGGCGGUUCGAGCCCGCCACCGCCCA
rnacentral:tRNA from 1 species